rnacentral:rRNA from 1 species
CGUUCCCGGGCCUUGUACACACCGCCCGUCACGUCACGAAAGUCGGCAACACCCGAAGCCGGUGGCCCAACCCUUGUGGAGGGAGCCGUCGAAGGUGGGGCUGGCGAUUGGGACG